rnacentral:sRNA from 1 species
GCUUUAUGUCACUCGGAUUGGCCCUUCGCGGCGAUGUAGUCCGCUUGCC